CGCACACAUACACACACAUUUUACACUCUCCUCCCUCGGUCGCUCCUUCUGAAUAGUCUUUGGUUUCAUUCUUCUUUGCAUCCAUCAGGGAGAGGGAGUUCUGCCAGUGCCCGAAAACAUUGAACAGACACUCACUUCGCCUAACUUUUAGACUGUUGCACGACGAGAAAUGCUUAAAAUACUUAACAUAUAUUGGCUGCUAUGUUGAUUGACAACAGUGACUUUCUAGCUGAACAGGGGAAAACAAAGUUACCAAAGCGCCUCUCGCCAUUCUGACAAGUCUAACUUACUUUGCGCACCGGAGUUUUUAGUGGCCACACAAGUUGACUAUUACUUUCUACACUUAUACAGACAACAGUGAUAUGAUUGUUCUUUGAUGUCAAGCGGAUACCCAGACUGGAUACAUCAAGCAAAGGCGACGUUCAUGAAUCCGACACUGACACACAAGUGAGCUGAGGUGUUAGUCUCUCAACUGAUAUGGAGAAGCUGUAGGUUGGGUCCGGGAUGUGGUUCCUAACCCAGGCUGGAUCAGCGAGCGGCUCAGCGCCAGCGAAACACUC
ensembl:lncRNA